GGGUUGUGAGGUUAAGCGACUAAGCGUACACGGUGGAUGCCCUGGCAGUCAGAGGCGAUGAAGGGCGUGCUAAUCUGCGAUAAGCGCCGGUAAGGUGAUAUGAACCGUUAUAACCGGCGAUACCCGAAUGGGGAAACCCAGUGUGAUUCGUCACACUAUCAUUAACUGAAUCCAUAGGUUAAUGAGGCGAACCGGGGGAACUGAAACAUCUAAGUACCCCGAGGAAAAGAAAUCAACCGAGAUUCCCCCAGUAGCGGCGAGCGAACGGGGAGGAGCCCAGAGCCUGAAUCAGCAUGUGUGUUAGUGGAAGCGUCUGGAAAGGCGCGCGAUACAGGGUGACAGCCCCGUACACAAAAGCGCAUGUGCUGUGAGCUCGAUGAGUAGGGCGGGACACGUGGUAUCCUGUCUGAAUAUGGGGGGACCAUCCUCCAAGGCUAAAUACUCCUGACUGACCGAUAGUGAACCAGUACCGUGAGGGAAAGGCGAAAAGAACCCCGGCGAGGGGAGUGAAAAAGAACCUGAAACCGUGUACGUACAAGCAGUGGGAGCACCCUUUGGGUGUGACUGCGUACCUUUUGUAUAAUGGGUCAGCGACUUAUAUUCUGUAGCAAGGUUAACCGAAUAGGGGAGCCGGAGGGAAACCGAGUCUUAACCGGGCGUUAAGUUGCAGGGUAUAGACCCGAAACCCGGUGAUCUAGCCAUGGGCAGGUUGAAGGUUGGGUAACACUAACUGGAGGACCGAACCGACUAAUGUUGAAAAAUUAGCGGAUGACCUGUGGCUGGGGGUGAAAGGCCAAUCAAACCGGGAGAUAGCUGGUUCUCCCCGAAAGCUAUUUAGGUAGCGCCUCGUGAAUUCAUCUCCGGGGGUAGAGCACUGUUUCGGCUAGGGGGCCAUCCCGGCUUACCAACCCGAUGCAAACUGCGAAUACCGGAGAAUGUUAUCACGGGAGACACACGGCGGGUGCUAACGUCCGUCGUGAAGAGGGAAACAACCCAGACCGCCAGCUAAGGUCCCAAAGUCAUGGUUAAGUGGGAAACGAUGUGGGAAGGCCCAGACAGCCAGGAUGUUGGCUUAGAAGCAGCCAUCAUUUAAAGAAAGCGUAAUAGCUCACUGGUCGAGUCGGCCUGCGCGGAAGAUGUAACGGGGCUAAACCAUGCACCGAAGCUGCGGCAGCGACACUGUGUGUUGUUGGGUAGGGGAGCGUUCUGUAAGCCUGUGAAGGUGUGUCGUGAGGCAUGCUGGAGGUAUCAGAAGUGCGAAUGCUGACAUAAGUAACGAUAAAGCGGGUGAAAAGCCCGCUCGCCGGAAGACCAAGGGUUCCUGUCCAACGUUAAUCGGGGCAGGGUGAGUCGACCCCUAAGGCGAGGCCGAAAGGCGUAGUCGAUGGGAAACGGGUUAAUAUUCCCGUACUUGGUGUUACUGCGAAGGGGGGACGGAGAAGGCUAUGUUGGCCGGGCGACGGUUGUCCCGGUUUAAGCGUGUAGGUGUGUGUUCCAGGUAAAUCCGGUUCACUUUAACACUGAGGCGUGACGACGAGGCACUACGGUGCUGAAGCAACAAAUGCCCUGCUUCCAGGAAAAGCCUCUAAGCAUCAGGUAACAUCAAAUCGUACCCCAAACCGACACAGG
rnacentral:rRNA from 1 species